rnacentral:rRNA from 1 species
UACGGAGGGGGCUAGCGUUGUUCGGAAUUACUGGGCGUAAAGCGUACGUAGGCGGCUUUGUAAGUUAGAGGUGAAAGCCCGGGGCUCAACCCCGGAAUUGCCUUUAAGACUGCAUCGCUUGAACGUCGGAGAGGUGAGUGGAAUUCCGAGUGUAGAGGUGAAAUUCGUAGAUAUUCGGAAGAACACCAGUGGCGAAGGCGGCUCACUGGACGACUGUUGACGCUGAGGUGCGAAAGCGUGGGGGAGCA